rnacentral:rRNA from 1 species
AGUGAACGCUGGCGGCGUGCUUAACACAUGCAAGUCGAACGAGAACGGAAUAUAGCUUGCUAUAUUUGUCAGCUAAGUGGCGCACGGGUGAGUAAUGUAUAGAUAACCUGCCCCUAAGAAAGGGAUAACAGUUGGAAACGACUGCUAAUGCCCUAUAUGCCUUUAAUACAUAAGUAUGCAAGGGAAAAGCUUUAGUGCUUAAUGAUGGGUAUGUAUGGUAUCAGCUUGUUGGUGAUGUAAUGGGUCACCAAGGCUAUGACGCCUAACUGGUUUGGGAGGAUGAUCAGUCACACUGGAACUGAGACACGGUCCAGACUCCUACGGGAGGCAGCAGUGGGGAAUAUUGCACAAUGGACGAAAGUCUGAUGCAGCAACGCCGCGUGGAGGAUGACACAUUUCGGUGCGUAAUCUCCUUUUAUAUAGGAAGAUAAUGACGGUACUAUAUGAAUAAGCACCGGCUAACUCCGUGCCAGCCGCCGCCGUAA